rnacentral:misc_RNA from 1 species
UUUCUGUAGGUGAACCUGCGGAAGGAUCAUUAUUGUAUAACCGAGGUGCGAGGGCUGUCGCUGACCCGAAAGGUCGUGCACGCCCGAGUGCCCUCACACACAUCCAUCUCACCCCUAUGUGCACCACCGCGUGGGUCCCCCUUGGGCUUGUUCGGAGGGGGGCUUACGUUUUCACACAAACUUUGUAUGCAGUGUAGAAUGUAUUUUUUGUUUUUGCGAUCACGCAAUCAAUACAACUUUCAACAACGGAUCUCUUGGCUCUC